rnacentral:rRNA from 1 species
AGAGUUUGAUCAUGGCUCAGGAUGAACGCUAGCGGCAGGCCUAAUACAUGCAAGUCGGACGGGAUUGGAGAGCUUGCUUUCCAUGAGAGUGGCGCACGGGUGCGUAACACGUAUGUAACCUACCCUUGUCAGGGGGAUAGCCUCUCGAAAGAGAGAUUAAGACCGCAUAACAUUGAGAUGUAGCAUUACAAUUCAAUCAAAUAUUUAUAGGACAAGGAUGGGCAUGCGGAACAUUAGCUAGUUGGUGAGGUAACUGCUCACCAAGGCUACGAUGUUUAGGGGAUCUGAGAGGAUGACCCCCCACACUGGUACUGAGACACGGACCAGACUCCUACGGGAGGCAGCAGUAAGGAAUAUUGGUCAAUGGGCGGAAGCCUGAACCAGCCAUGCCGCGUGCAGGAAGACGGCCCUACGGGUUGUAAACUGCUUUUGCAGGGGAAUAAACCCCCGUAUGUAUACGGGGCUGAAUGUACUCUGAGAAUAAGGAUCGGCUAACUCCGUGCCAGCAGCCGCGGUAAUACGGAGGAUCCAAGCGUUAUCCGGAUUUAUUGGGUUUAAAGGGUGCGUAGGUGGCCUGUUAAGUCAGGGGUGAAAGACGGUAGCUUAACUAUCGCAGUGCCCUUGAUACUGAUGGGCUUGAAUGAACUAGAGGUAGGCGGAAUGUGACAAGUAGCGGUGAAAUGCAUAGAUAUGUCACAGAACACCAAUUGCGAAGGCAGCUUACUAUGGUUUUAUUGACACUGAGGCACGAAAGCGUGGGGAUCAAACAGGAUUAGAUACCCUGGUAGUCCACGCCCUAAACGAUGAAUACUCGAUGUUGGCGAUAUACGGUCAGCGUCUAAGCGAAAGCGUUAAGUAUUCCACCUGGGGAGUACGCCCGCAAGGGUGAAACUCAAAGGAAUUGACGGGGGCCCGCACAAGCGGAGGAGCAUGUGGUUUAAUUCGAUGAUACGCGAGGAACCU